rnacentral:rRNA from 1 species
UACGAAGGGGGCUAGCGUUGCUCGGAAUUACUGGGCGUAAAGGGCGCGUAGGCGGAUACUUAAGUCGGGGGUGAAAGCCCGGGGCUCUACCUCGGAAUUGCCUUCGAUACUGGGUAUCUUGAGUUCGGGAGAGGUGAGUGGAAUGCCGAGUGUAGAGGUGAAAUUCGUAGAUAUUCGGCGGAACACCAGUGGCGAAGGCGACUCACUGGCCCGAUACUGACGCUGAUGCGCGAAAGCGUGGGGAGCAAACAGG